rnacentral:rRNA from 1 species
UACGUAGGGUGCAAGCGUUAAUCGGAAUUACUGGGCGUAAAGCGUGCGCAGGCGGUUUUGUAAGUUUGUCGUGAAAUCCCCGGGCUCAACCUGGGAAUGGCGAUGAAGACUGCAAGGCUAGAAUCUGGCAGAGGGGGGUGGAAUUCCGCGUGUAGCAGUGAAAUGCGUAGAGAUGCGGAGGAACACCGAUGGCGAAGGCAGCCCCCUGGGCUAACACUGACGCUUAGGCACGAAAGCGUGGGGAGCAAACAGG